CUGUACCAUGCUGAAUAUACCGGUUCUCGUUAGAUCACCGAAGUCAAGCAUCAUUGGGCGCGGUCAGUACUUGGGUGGGUGACCACCUGGGAACACUGCGUGCCGUU